AAGACUAUACUUUCAGGGAUCAUUUCUGUAGUUGGUUACUAAAAGAAACCCUUCCUUGAGCAAAAUAUUAACCGAAAUAGAGACUAACUUUUCCUAUUACCAAAAAUGUGUGCAAGCAAAAAAGAUUAUAAUAAGCCUUGGU
rnacentral:snoRNA from 1 species